rnacentral:lncRNA from 1 species
AUUUUUUUUGGAGUAUUAAUGAUCUUGCUAUUAUGUUUUUGUUUUGUAGGUGCAAACUGUCUGCAACUACAUAGUUAAGAACUAUUCAUAUUAAAAGAUUUUAUGUGUAUGAUAUGUGCACUCUUCUUUUAUGUGGAUAAUGUUUGAUGGAAACACUUGCAUUGUUUAUAGCAAAAGCAUGAGUUUCAUGAUUUUCCUUAGUUUAGAUUGCUAGUUUUAAUUGUGGAUGAUAUUGUUUUGUUCUACCUGACUUUGCUAUGCCUUUUCUUUUUGAUGCUUUAAGUCGGCCUUUUAAUUUUCCACUUUUUGCAGAAAAGUCUGAGUGCUUAAUUUUAGGAUGUUGUAAGGAAAUGGAGAAUAACUUCAUUUUCAUUUUCUUCCAAAAAUGGCCCUCUUGUUUUUUUAAUAUAAAGAUCCAUUUUGGACCCCCUGCCUCUUCUCUCUCCCUGAUACUUUUGAUUCUUGCUAUAUGUCUUUGUUAUUAUGCUAGUUAGUCCAAGUCAAUUGGAUCCAAUAU